UACGGAGGGUGCAAGCGUUGUUCGGAAUCAUUGGGCGUAAAGGGCACGUAGGCGGAUUUGUAAGUCGAUUGUGAAAUCCCUGGGCUUAACCCGGGAAUGGCAGUCGAAACUGCAAGUCUUGAAUGCUCGAGAGGAUGGUGGAAUUCCUGGAGUAGUAGUGAAAUACGUAGAGAUUGGGAAGAACACCAGUGGCGAAGGCGGCUAUCUGGACGGUUUCUGACGCUAAGACGCGAAAGCGUGGGGAGCAAACAGG
rnacentral:rRNA from 1 species